rnacentral:rRNA from 1 species
GAUGAACGCUAGCUACAGGCUUAACACAUGCAAGUCGAGGGGCAGCAUGAACUUAGCUUGCUAAGUUUGAUGGCGACCGGCGCACGGGUGCGUAACGCGUAUCGAACCUGCCGCAUACCCGGGGAUAGCCUUGCGAAAGCAAGAUUAAUACCCGAUGUUCUCACUGUUCCGCAUGUUACGGUGAGCAAAGAAUUUCGGUAUGCGAUGGCGAUGCGUCCCAUUAGCUAGUUGGCGGGGUAACGGCCCACCAAGGCUCCGAUGGGUAGGGGUUCUGAGAGGAAGGUCCCCCACACUGGAACUGAGACACGGUCCAG